AGUUUUAUUUAUUAUUGAUUUUGAAAAUCAUUUAAAAAAGAUUAAUUAUCUUUUAAAACUU
rnacentral:tRNA from 1 species